GAUGAACGCUAGCGGCAGGCCUAAUACGUGCAAGUCGAACGGGAUUAAGAGGCUUGCUUCUUAUGAGAGUGGCGCACGGGUGCGUAACACGUAUGCAACCUACCUUCAACUGGGGGAUAGCCUUCCGAAAGGGAGAUUAAUACCGAAUAACAUAAUUGAGUGGCAUCACUUGAUUAUCAAACGUCAGGGUUGAAGAUGGGCAUGCGUCCGAUUAGUUUGUUGGUGAGGUAACGGCUCACCAAGACUACGAUCAAUAGGGGGUCUGAGAGGAUGUCCCCCCACACUGGUACUGAGACACGGACCAGACUCCUACGGGAGGCAGCAGUAGGGAAUAUUGGUCAAUGGGGGCAACCCUGAACCAGCCAUGCCGCGUGCAGGAAGACUGCCCUAUGGGUUGUAAACUGCUUUUGUACGGGAAGAAAUGUCACUAUGCGUAGUGAUUUGACGGUACCGUAAGAAUAAGGAUCGGCUAACUUCGUGCCAGCCGCCGCAGUAAUAC
rnacentral:rRNA from 1 species